rnacentral:lncRNA from 1 species
UUAUACCUGUGACAAUGAUAUUCGUAGGAGAUUGUCCAUUGUCGCAUCCCCAACGUGUAUAGCGCCCCCUAGCGCAUCCAAUCUUGCCUUUCUUGUGCACCAAUUUCAUGGCAAUAAUGAAUCUGUUCGGUCCAUUGUAUCUGAUCUCUUUAUAAUGGUUUUCCCUGGCUCCAACACAAAGGUCAGAGGCAAGUUUUUUCCAAUACCCU